rnacentral:rRNA from 1 species
GUCGAGGGGCAGCAUUUUAGUUUGCUUGCAAACUGAAGAUGGCGACCGGCGCACGGGUGAGUAACACGUAUCCAACCUGCCGAUAACUCCGGAAUAGCCUUUCGAAAGAAAGAUUAAUACCGGAUGGCAUACGAAUAUCGCAUGAUAUUUUUAUUAAAGAAUUUCGGUUAUCGAUGGGGAUGCGUUCCAUUAGUUUGUUGGCGGGGUAACGGCCCACCAAGACUACGAUGGAUAGGGGUUCUGAGAGGAAGGUCCCCCACAUUGGAACUGAGACACGGUCCAAACUCCUACGGGAGGCAGCAGUGAGGAAUAUUGGUCAAUGGGCGAGAGCCUGAACCAGCCAAGUAGCGUGAAGGAUGAAGGCUCUAUGGGUCGUAAACUUCUUUUAUAUGGGAAUAAAGUUUUCCACGUGUGGAAUUUUGUAUGUACCAUAUGAAUAAGGAUCGGCUAACUCCGUGCCAGCAGCCGCGGUAAUACGGAGGAUCCGAGCGUUAUCCGGAUUUAUUGGGUUUAAAGGGAGCGUAGGUGGAUUGUUAAGUCAGUUGUGAAAGUUUGCGGCUCAACCGUAAAAUUGCAGUUGAAACUGGGAGUCUUGAGUACAGUAGAGGUGGGCGGAAUUCGUGGUGUAGCGGUGAAAUGCUUAGAUAUCACGAAGAACUCCGAUUGCGAAGGCAGCUCACUAGACUGUCACUGACACUGAUGCUCGAAAGUGUGGGUAUCAAACAGGAUUAGAUACCCUGGUAGUCCACACAGUAAACGAUGAAUACUCGCUGUUUGCGAUAUACAGUAAGCGGCCAAGCGAAAGCAUUAAGUAUUCCACCUGGGGAGUACGCCGGCAACGGUGAAACUCAAAGGAAUUGACGGGGGCCCGCACAAGCGGAGGAACAUGUGGUUUAAUUCGAUGAUACGCGAGGAACCUUACCCGGGCUUAAAUUGCAACAGAAUAUAUUGGAAACAGUAUAGCCGUAAGGCUGUUGUGAAGGUGCUGCAUGGUUGUCGUCAGCUCGUGCCGUGAGGUGUCGGCUUAAGUGCCAUAACGAGCGCAACCCUUAUCUUUAGUUACUAACAGGUCAUGCUGAGGACUCUAGAGAGACUGCCGUCGUAAGAUGUGAGGAAGGUGGGGAUGACGUCAAAUCAGCACGGCCCUUACGUCCGGGGCUACACACGUGUUACAAUGGGGGGUACAGAAGGCGGCUACCUGGUGACAGGAUGCUAAUCCCAAAAACCUCUCUCAGUUCGGAUCGAAGUCUGCAACCCGACUUCGUGAAGCUGGAUUCGCUAGUAAUCGCGCAUCAGCCAUGGCGCGGUGAAUACGUUCCCGGGCCUUGUACACACCGCCCGUCAAGCCAUGAAAGCCGGGGGUACCUGAAGUA